GAUUUCUGAUGAACCGGAGUGGCCCGUUUCCUUUCAGGGAAUGAGUGCCUUCCAGAGAGCUGCGUCUACCGUUUACUCGGCCGGACGUAUGCGAUCUGGAUCUAUUACUUUGAAAAAAUUAGAGUGUUUAAAGCAGGCUUAUGCUAUGAAUACAUUAGCAUGGAAUAAUAAUUUAGGACUUUGGUUCUAUUUUGUUGGUUUCUAGGACUGAAGUAAUGAUUGAUAGGGAUAGUUGGGGGUGCUAGUAUUCCGCGGCCAGAGGUGAAAUUCUUGGAUUCGUGGAAGACUAACUACUGCGAAAGCAUU
rnacentral:rRNA from 1 species